AUGGCGGAGGUGCAGGUCCUGGUGCUCGAUGGUCGAGGCCAUCUCCUGGUCCGCCUGGCGGCCAUCGUGGCUAAACAGGUACUGCUGGGCCGGAAAGUGGUGGUCGUACGCUGCGAAGGCAUCAACAUUUCUGGCAAUUUCUACAGAAACAAGUUGAAGUACCUGGCUUUCCUCCGCAAGCGGAUGAACACCCACCUUUCCCGAGGUCCCUACCACUUCCGGGCCCCCCAGCCGCAUCUUCUGGCGGACCGUGCGAGGUAUGCCGCCCCACAAGACCAAGCGAGGCCAGGCUUCUCUGGACCGCCUCAAGGUGUUUGACCGCAUCCCACCGCCCUACGACAAGAAAAAGCGGAUGGUGUUCCUGCUCCCUCAAGGUUGUGCGUCUGAAGCCUACAAGAAAGUUUGCCUAUCUGGGGCGCCUGGCUCACGAGGUUGGCUGGAAGUACCAGGCAGUGACAGCCACCCUGGAGGAGAAGAGGAAAGAGAAAGCCAAGAUCCACUACCGGAAGAAGAAACAGCUCAUGAGGCUACGGAAACAGGCCGAGAAGAACAUGGAGAAGAAAAUUGACAAAUACACAGAGGUCCUCAAGACCCACAGACUCCUGGUCUGA
rnacentral:lncRNA from 1 species